rnacentral:rRNA from 1 species
GUUGAACGCUGGCGGCGUGCCUAACACAUGCAAGUCGAGCGAAGCGGGGACGGGUGAGGAACACGUGGAUGACCUCCUAUAAGACUGGGAUAACUUCGGGAAACCGGAGACAAAACCGCAACUUAUAGAUGGAGCCGCGCUGCAUUAGCUGGUUGGUAAGGUAACGGCUUACCAAGUCGACGAUGCAUAGCCGACCUGAGAGGGUGAUCAGCCACACUGGAACUGAGACACGGUCCAGACUCCUACGGGAGGCAGCAGUGGGGAAGCUUCCGCAAUGGGCGAAAGCCUGACGGAGCAAUGCCGCGUGAGUGAUGAAGGUCUUCGGAUCGUAAAGCUCUUUUAUUAGGGAAGCGGUACCUGAUCAGAAAGCAACGGCUAACUACGUGCCAGCAGCCGCGGUAAUAC